rnacentral:misc_RNA from 1 species
GUCCAAGCUUUGAACCUUCAUCCUGCAAUAAUCUAAUUAUUUAAGUAAAUUCAACAUUAUUCUACAGAUUCAAUCUAUCGGUCACAGUUGGAACAAUAUUCCCUAAUAUUGGAAAAAAAAUUUUGAAUUAUCAGUGGAGAGUAAAACAAUGAUUUAACACCUAUGAUCCCAUAAAAUUACACUUAUUACAACUCAACACAGGUGUUGAACACAACAAAACAGUUACACAUGGCACAAUCUCAAGUAUAUGAUGCUUAUAAAUGCACCAGAGGAAAAUGAUAAAGCAACAGUAGAAUUUGAUGAUGAAAGAUUUCAUAAUUUUAAAUUCCUUUGGGAAAGCAUCUCAAGUUUAUUUGAUUACUGCUCCAUUGAUAGAUGCUAAAUAGUGAAUAUUCAUCUUAUUUUAAUAAGUUCAACAUACCAAAUCAUACAUGGUUUGAGGGAUUCAAUAAAUGGCUUAUUUAAACAAAUAAAUGAGAGAAUGAUGACAUACUUCAUAACUUGGCAGAUAUAUAUGCAA